UACGUAGGGUGCAAGCGUUGUCCGGAAUUAUUGGGCGUAAAGAGCUCGUAGGCGGUUUGUCGCGUCGGCUGUGAAAACCUGAGGCUCAACCUCGGGCCUGCAGUCGAUACGGGCAAACUAGAGUUCGGUAGGGGAGACUGGAAUUCCUGGUGUAGCGGUGGAAUGCGCAGAUAUCAGGAGGAACACCAAUGGCGAAGGCAGGUCUCUGGGCCGAAACUGACGCCGAGGAGCGAAAGCGUGGGGAGCGAACAGG
rnacentral:rRNA from 1 species